UGGGGAAUUUUGGACAAUGGGGGCAACCCUGAUCCAGCCAUCCCGCGUGUGCGAUGAAGGCCUUCGGGUUGUAAAGCACUUUUGGCAGGGAAGAAAAGGCGCAGGUUAAUACCCUGUGCUGCUGACGGUACCUGCAGAAUAAGCACCGGCUAACUACGUGCCAGCAGCCGCGGUAAUACGUAGGGUGCAAGCGUUAAUCGGAAUUACUGGGCGUAAAGCGUGCGUAGGCGGUUUGACAAGAAGGAUGUGAAAUCCCAGGGCUUAACCUUGGAAAUGCAUUAUUAACUGGCAGGCUAGAGUAUGUCAGAGGGGGGUAGAAUUCCGCGUGUAGCAGUGAAAUGCGUAGAGAUGUGGAGGAAUACCGAUGGCGAAGGCAGCCCCCUGGGAUAAUACUGACGCUCAGGCACGAAAGCGUGGGGAGCAAACA
rnacentral:rRNA from 1 species